CAGACAGAUGUGCUGCCUGGAAGACUGAUGGUGACCCCUACCCAGUCAGCCCAGAGCAGGGAGAGCAGGGGUGUAGGGCAAGGCGGACACAGAGAGCCAGCCUGGGAUGCUGGGGUAGGGCCUCUCCAGAAUAGACAGACAGACCAGAAUGCAAGAGGCGGGGCACGGGAGGUCAGGAGUGGCAGAGCAUGGAGGGAAAGAAGCCCUCAACAAGCGCCUUUUGAAUAAGGAGGAAGGGAUGGAAGAGGGUUGGAGGCGUCAUGAGGGAGUCAUCCUGGAGGCAGUUUUCUUCAUGGAAACCUAGAUAAAUGAAAAGAUUAGGAUGGAAGGAGUGAUGCUCAUCCUCCAAGGCGAGCAAUCCCAGUAUGUCAGGGUUCUAAGGGGAGGUGCGGGCAGAGGUCAGGUUGCAAUAGCCUGCAAGGAGAGGAGGCAGACAGAGCUGGGACAAGGGUGGCUGCAAGCCCAAGAGGAGCAUUUACGCAAGAAGAGUUGAUUCGGGAUCCGUGGCAUCUUCCUUUCUCUUCAAAAACGUCUCCACAAACCAAGGUGUUCAUCGGCCCUUCUCUCACAACUCUAGCCGGCACCCCGAUUUGGGGGGCGGGGGUCCUCAUGUCCGG
rnacentral:lncRNA from 1 species